rnacentral:lncRNA from 1 species
AGCAUUUCUCUCAGUCAAUAUUUUCAUGUUAGAGAAAUCUAUGAACAGAACAUGGAUGGUGAGGUGAUAAUACGGUUUAGAGAGCCAGCUAAGGUUCUCGAAGAGAGUCCCUCUCAUCUAAAAGAUAUCAUAAAAAAAGUCUUCAACCUUGAAAAGGAAAGCAAGAUACCUCCUCCUGAGAGUGGCGAUAUGACAACCUUGAGCAAAAGUAAAAGCAACGCCAACUUCCUGACAGAAGCGAAGGAAAUCCAAGAGUGCCCAGCUUCCGAAAUGGAGGAGGAUGCCAAGAGCUCAAAAGAUAGAGUCAUAAGUGAGAAGACACAGACCUUCAAAGAAAGUCUUUCCCAGGAACCUGGAGAACUAGAGACCCCAGGAGAAAGCUUGGCAGAAGCUAGCAAACACCUAGUAGACCAGACAGAGAAUGAGAC